GUGGCAGCCGCCGCGGUAAGACAGAGGUGGCGAGCGUUGUUCGGAAUUACUGGGCUUAAAGGGCGCGUAGGCGGUGGCGCAAGUCUGAGGUGGAAUGCUACGGCUUAACCGUAGAGCUGCCUUGGAAACUGCGUUACUUGAGUCGGUUAGGGGAUGGCGGAAUUCCUGGCGUAGCGGUGAAAUGCGUAGAUAUCAGGAGGAAGGUCUGUGGCGAAGGCGGCCAUCUGGGAUUUGACUGACGCUGAGGCGCGAAAGCGUGGGGAGCAAACAGGAUUAGAUACCCUGGUAGUCCACGCCCUAA
rnacentral:rRNA from 1 species